rnacentral:rRNA from 1 species
AGUAACGCGUGGGUAACCUGCCUCCAUACAGGGGGAUAACAGUUAGAAAUGACUGCUAAUACCGCAUAAGCGCACAGUGCUGCAUGGCACAGUGUGAAAAACUCCGGUGGUAUGAGAUGGACCCGCGUCUGAUUAGCUAGUUGGUGGGGUAACGGCCUACCAAGGCGACGAUCAGUAGCCGGCCUGAGAGGGUGAACGGCCACAUUGGGACUGAGACACGGCCCAA